rnacentral:rRNA from 1 species
UGGGGAAUAUUGGACAAUGGGCGGAAGCCUGAUCCAGCAACGCCGCGUGAGGGAUGACGGCCUUCGGGUUGUAAACCUCUUUCAGUACCGACGAAGCGAAAGUGACGGUAGGUACAGAAGAAGGACCGGCCAACUACGUGCCAGCAGCCGCGGUAAUACGUAGGGUCCGAGCGUUGUCCGGAAUUAUUGGGCGUAAAGGGCUCGUAGGCGGUUUGUCGCGUCGGGAGUGAAAUCACCGGGCUUAACUCGGUGCUUGCUUUCGAUACGGGCAGACUAGAGGUAUGCAGGGGAGAAUGGAAUUCCUGGUGUAGCGGUGAAAUGCGCAGAUAUCAGGAGGAACACCGGUGGCGAAGGCGGUUCUCUGGGCAUUACCUGACGCUGAGGAGCGAAAGUGUGGGGAGCGAACAGG